UACGUAGGUGGCAAGCGUUUGUCCGGAUUUAUUGGGUUUAAAGGGUGCGUAGGCGGUUCUAUAAGUCAGUGGUGAAAUACGGCAGCUCAACUGUCGAGGUGCCAUUGAUACUGUGGAACUUGAGUACAGACGAGGUAGGCGGAAUUGACGGUGUAGCGGUGAAAUGCUUAGAUAUCGUCAAGAACACCGAUAGCGAAGGCAGCUUACUAGACUGUAACUGACGCUGAGGCACGAAAGUGUGGGGAUCAAACAGG
rnacentral:rRNA from 1 species